rnacentral:rRNA from 1 species
AUUGAACGCUGGCGGCAGGCCUAACACAUGCAAGUCGGACGGUAGCACAGAGAGCUUGCUCUUGGGUGACGAGUGGCGGACGGGUGAGUAAUGUCUGGGGAUCUGCCCGAUAGAGGGGGAUAACCACUGGAAACGGUGGCUAAUACCGCAUAACGUCGCAAGACCAAAGAGGGGGACCUUCGGGCCUCUCACUAUCGGAUGAACCCAGAUGGGAUUAGCUAGUAGGCGGGGUAAUGGCCCACCUAGGCGACGGUCCCUAGCUGGUCUGAGAGGAUAACCAGCCACACUGGAACUGAGACACGGUCCAGACUCCUACGGGAGGCAGCAGUGGGGAAUAUUGCACAAUGGGCGCAAGCCUGAUGCAGCCAUGCCGCGUGUAUGAAGAAGGCCUUCGGGUUGUAAAGUACUUUCAGCGGGGAGGAAGGCGACGCGGUUAAUAACCGCGUCGAUUGACGUUACCCGCAGAAGAAGCACCGGCUAACUCCGUGCCAGCAGCCGCCGUAA